rnacentral:lncRNA from 1 species
GGUCCAACCCCGGUCACCAAACCCUGAAUGAAGUAACCCAAGAUUGCUAACAUAGCCAAUCUUCCAUUCUUGAUUUCUUUUAGCUUCAGUUCCUUCAUUGACUUCUCAUCUUUCCCGAACCCGAGUGGGUUAAAGAACGGCCCACCUGGGUAUGCCGGGUCACCCGACCCUGAAAAACCUUUCUCCAACCCCAAGAAGUAUUGCUUCCCCAUUGACCCUGGGUUAUACCAGUCUUGGAGUCUUCUAUGCUCUGCGAAACCCAUCAACGCCAUUUCCAAUACAAAUAGGGUGAAAGGGUCUGCCCAGUAGUUGUAUGUUCCGGCUGGGGGAAUGACACCGGUCUUGAACCAAGGGAGGGCGGUUUCCGGUGGGAUGAGCCCAAGCUUGCCGAAGAUCUCUGGUGCAAUGGCGCCAGCUGCACCCAACAUGGCGAAACGUCCAUUGAUAACCUCGCCGUAUGCUAGCCACUUGGGUUCGAUGAAUCCUCCGGUUCCUUCUGGGUCCGAGAGACCAAGUGGGUCGAACCCAAAGUCGCCUGGGAGACUGUAAAAUUCAAAGUCUCAGGUGAAAAAGAACUUGUUUGAUCAAGACUUCUUUGCUUUCUAGUUAUAUUAUAUACUAUUUAUUUAUUCUAAAAAACCACUACAAUUCAUGCCAAUCUUUUAAGUUUGUAACACUUAUCUUUGACUUCAAAAGAAAAACUGUAUCUUUCUUUUGUUGGAACGAUGAAAUUACCUUCCAUCAAGGUAAGAGAGAGAUUGCUUGGAUGCAAACCACAACUGUCUGUUAGCUCCUUGCUG